GGGCAAUUGGUCUAGGGGUAUGAUUUUCGCUUCGCAUCCUCAAAAAUGCGCCUUGUGAAAGGUCACCGGUUCGAAUCCGGUAUUGUCCA